rnacentral:rRNA from 1 species
UGGGGAAUUUUGGACAAUGGGCGCAAGCCUGAUCCAGCCAUGCCGCGUGCGGGAAGAAGGCCUUCGGGUUGUAAACCGCUUUUGUCAGGGAAGAAAUCUUCUGAGUUAAUACCUCGGGAGGAUGACGGUACCUGAAGAAUAAGCACCGGCUAACUACGUGCCAGCAGCCGCGGUAAUACGUAGGGUGCAAGCGUUAAUCGGAAUUACUGGGCGUAAAGCGUGCGCAGGCGGUUUUGUAAGACAGAGGUGGAAUCCCCGGGCUCAACCUGGGAACUGCCUUUGUGACUGCAAGGCUUGAGUGCGGCAGAGGGGGAUGGAAUUCCGCGUGUAGCAGUGAAAUGCGUAGAUAUGCGGAGGAACACCGAUGGCGAAGGCAAUCCCCUGGGCCUGCACUGACGCUCAUGCACGAAAGCGUGGGGAGCAAACAGGAUUAGAUACCCUGGUAGUCCACGCCCUAAACGAUGUCAACUGGUUGUUGGGAAGGUUCCUUCUCAGUAACGUAGCUAACGCGUGAAGUUGACCGCCUGGGGAGUACGGCCGCGAAGGUUG